rnacentral:ncRNA from 1 species
GUAUACGGACCACCAUCUGUGAGCGCUAAAGGGCGCCGGAUGUUCUGUGAGCCACUUUACUAAGUUUCACCCUGGAUAAACCUGGGUGAACAGGUCUGUGAUGCCCUUAGAUGUUCUGGGCUGCACGCGCGCUACACUGAUGCAUGCCACGAGUUUUUACCUUGACCGACGGGGCUGGGUAAUACAGCAUGCAGCUUGCGCCGAUUCCAUGCCUGCCUCAUGCGCAGCCUACCCAUGGAGAACAGGGAA